rnacentral:piRNA from 1 species
UNGCCUCUUGAUUGAUGUGCUCUGUGCCC